AGUCUACCCGUGUGUCAAGGUCCUGGCAUUGGGCUUGAUUUGCUGGCGUUGAAUUGUUGUGAUCAUCUCUGGUCCCCCACCUUCCUCUGAGGACACACCAGGGAGGACAUUCAGGCCAGGCCUUUCCAGGUCAAGGCAGUUAGAAGACUGCGAUGCAAACCUCUGCCAGGAGCGCAUCUGGCCCCCCAGGGCGGGUGAACCCCUUCCAUCCGAUCAGACUGGUGGCCAUACACUCAGGGGAACCCCGCCACUCCCGGGGCUUGGCCCAGCGGGCGAAGCAGAUGAACACACCUUUCUUUCGUUCCAGAUGAGAAUUCACCGAAUAAAUCACACGCGUUACCCAGACCAGGAUUGUAGAAGCCUUUCAUUUUUUUUUUUAUACACAGAAAUUUUGGUCUAUUCUUUAAUUAGGAAAUUCAACUACAGACUUUAAAUUAGUAUGCAUCUGUGGUCUUCCUCGUUAAGAUAUUUUUUUUGUUCAUCUUUAUAACAGGCAGAUAAAAAUGUAAAACAUAGUUAAUAACUGAACACGGUUGACCAAGCCAUUCCAUAUAAUAUAAUGUUUUAUAGAGAGGGGCUCCCUGGUGACACAGGUCCCUCGGUCUGAAGACGACAGAAGCCAGAGCAAUGAGCCGAGGUCACAGCCCCCCUGUUUCUGAACCACACACCCCACGGAAAGGCAACCUAGGACUAAACAGUCGACAUGUACAGUAGGCAACUUUGUACAGCAGCAGCAAGGGUGCUUUAAAUAUAUAUGGACCGUCAGUUCUACCAGUGUGUCUACAACAGAAUGAAAAGAAGCCCAUGGGUGGAGCGUGAUGGAGCUCAUCUUCUUCAAUUGAAACGUUUCCAACUUGACUUCUUUUAAGAACACAGACCCUCACCGAAUUGAGUUGCCCUUUUUGUGGUGGUCGAAACAAGGACAUAGGGGACAAUGUACACAUGGGUGACAUUCUCGAUGUGCCCUUUGGAAGAAAGGGAUGGCUUUAAGUUAUCUGGAGCUGGCAUUUGAAGUGGGAUUUUCUUUUUUAACCGAAAUUCCUUUGCCCGAGGUUUGACUACUCCUGCUCAGGGGUGACGUGGCAUCCAUGCUAACGGUGCAGCCCGAGCGUGUUUUGGCCGCCAGCGCGGAUGCUCACGACGCAGGUGGAGGGUGCAUUCGGGGAAACUGAGGCUUGGCACACUGGGUGCCCACACUGCAAGGAGAGGCUCCCGAGGGAACCAUCUGGGGAGCCCAGGCCCAGCUCUCCGCACCUGCAGAUAGGUGUUCGGCCCACGUGGUGAAGCUGACCUCCUCAGCCUUCCAGACUCACGAGAAAGCGCCACAGGUGGGAUUAGAGCAACUGCCACGGGGGGCCAUGGCUCCUGGGGGCUUUGCCUCGGCAUCUGGUUCCCUGAUGUCGCUGUCGGUGGCUGCAGACACAAAUCCAUGCUGUCAUGGGUCAGAGUUGUUGAAUGAGAAGACUGGGGUCGGAAGAGCGCUAGGUGGGUUGUGACUGAGAACUUUCCGAGCAGCGUUAUGGGUGCCUCGGCAACAACUACUUGGCAUUUGCCAAAAAAGAAUGGGAGUCCGGUGGGAGGUGCGAGAGGGCUGGGUCCGUAUCGCAGCCACGUCAGCUCCUCUUGGGUUUUGAUGGUACCUCUUCCUCCACUGGUUUCUGUCUGAUUCUUGUCUCUCCUCCCCCCAUUCCGGGUCCCCACAUGGGGUCAGAGGCAGCAGGGGGCAGAGCUCUUGAACUUGGAUUGUAGACAGAGAAAGCUCAGCAGCCAGAAUUCAGCACUUGGAAUUGGAGUUGAAACCAAAGGAAAGUGAAAGCAAAAUGCCCCCUUCUACCUUCUGGGAGGGAUCAUCCUCAUCAAUACUUUGGUAUUUUCCUUUUAAAUAAAAAUUCCAUCAAAAGGG